UACGUAGGGGGCAAGCGUUGUCCGGAUUUAUUGGGCGUAAAGAGCUCGUAGGUGGUUCGGUAAGUCGGAUGUGAAAUCUCCAGGCUCAACCUGGAGGGGUCAUUCGAUACUGCCGUGACUAGAGGUCGGUAGGGGAGUGUGGAAUUCCUGGUGGAGCGGUGAAAUGCGCAGAUAUCGGGAGGAACACCGGUGGCGAAGGCGGUUCUCUGGGCCCUACCUGACGCUGAGGAGCGAAAGCGUGGGGAGCGAACAGG
rnacentral:rRNA from 1 species